CCUACGGGAGACUGCAGUGAGGAAUAUUGGUCAAUGGACGAGAGUCUGAACCAGCCAAGUAGCGUGAAGGAUGACGGCCCUAUGGGUGGUAAACUUCGUGUAUAAAGGAAUAAAACGAGGCACGUGAGCCUGUUUGCAUGUACAUUAUGAAGAAGGAUCGGCUAACUCCGUGCCAGCAGCAGCGGUAAUACGGAGGAUCCGAGCGUUAUCCGGAUUUAGUGGGGUUAAAGGGAGAGUAGAGGGGUUGUUAAGUCAGUUGUGCCAGUUGGCGGCUCCACCGGAAAAUUGCACUUGAUACUGGCAGUCUUGCGUACAGUUGCGGUAGGCGGACUUCGUGGUGUAGCGGUG
rnacentral:rRNA from 1 species